rnacentral:rRNA from 1 species
GGACUACUGGGGUUUCUAAUCCUGUUUGCUCCCCACGCUUUCGUGUCUCAGCGUCAGUAUCUGUCCAGUUGGCCGCCUUCGCCACCGGUGUUCCUCUCGAUAUCUACGAAUUUCACCUCUACACCGAGAAUUCCACCAACCUCUCCAGUACUCAAGCCACGCAGUAUCAAGUGCACUUCCAGGGUUGAGCCCUGGGCUUUCACACCUGACUUAUGUGGCCGCCUACACACGCUUUACGCCCAGUAAUUCCGAACAACGUUUGCACCCUCUGUCUUACCGCGGCUGCUGGCAC